CCCAGCACUUGAUUAAUGAGCAGCUAUUCAAUAUCUUGUUUUCUUCUCCAGCACGUGGUCUCGUUCUUCAUCUUUACUGCUGAAACCCUGCUCUGGAGUCAGAAGUCUCCAUGAAUCGUGUAGGGAUGGAUUUUUUUUAAAUAGACAUUUACUGCUCAGCCAAAUUUGGGUAGCAUUUCCAAAGAAGGGGAAGAGGUCAGGCGUACAACACAAGCUCACUGAAUCCAGUUCCCUGCUCCAGAUUGCAACGGCACAAGGAAAAGACAGCAGUGGUUUUUCCCGAGGACAACACAAUUUUCUUCUAAGAUGUGUGUGAGAUCAUCCCAAGGGAGUCUCCUGGGAGGAUCUGACCCUGAUGGGUCAGGCAGAAAUGCUGGAUCUGAAAUGGUGCCCUGGAGUUUGCUCCCUGCUCUGGCUGAACGUGCCAUCAGCUGGUGUUGUUACCCUCCUGGAAGAGGGUUUGGAGUGGGGCACUGCCAUGCCCAGCCAAGCCCAGGGAAAAUAAAAGGAGUCUUUUUUAAGGGCAGUGAAUGAAAAUCAUAAAUGAUGCAAAUCCACCUUGCAGUCAGUGAGCACUGGGUGAUUCAUACCUGCCGAGGAGGCCAGACCAUCAUCCCCUCGAAGCUGGGCACCCCAAGAGCAAUUCUGUCAGUUCUCACCUGGUUGGGGGAGAGGAGAGGCGCCCACAGAGCUGGCAUCUGCCAGGUCCCAUGGGAAGCAGAGCCCAACACCCUCUGGCUCCACAAUGAUAUCCCAAUGCCUGGGACCACGCACAACAUGUUAGACACCAUCAGAAACAUGCCAGGCCAAGCUGUGGCUACAGACUGUGGAGCAAUCCCUCCACCUCAGUGCACAGUUCUUGCAGCUUGUAAAUCAGAAGCAGCCAUUUCCCUUUGCUGCGCUGCGGGGAUCCGCACGAAGGCAAAUCCCAAGUGCUUCGUCAUUCUGCUGAGCUCUAAUCCCGUCAGCAUCUCUGGCCACUCCAUCAAUCGGAUUAGAGCAAGGCUGAAAGUCAGAAUAGGGGUGGCUGGCCCAGGGGAGCAGGCCCUGCGUGGGCAGAUGCAGCCACCACUGCUGCGGCCACCACUGCUCUGCUCAGCCCCAUCUCCCUGCAGGCACCCAGGGCUUCCCCAGCGCAGCCUUUUGGAGCUGCAGCCAGGGCAGCCCCUGCUCAGCAUCAGCACCGAGGGCAGGGGCUGUGCCUUCAGCCCCUCCUGCCUCUCCAGAGCCUCUGUGCUGGUAAUGGAUGGAGUGGCCAUAGCACGGCUGUCAGAGCCUUUCACGUUCAUGCCCAAAGUUAGCCCAAAAUGUUCUGGCAGAAAAUGCUGCUUUAACAGAAUCUAACCCUCCUGGUGGAAACCUGCUAGCUUCUGUAUCCUGUGGUAGAAACCAGAUGGGUGUAUAAAUAAGGAUCCUGCCUUCA